rnacentral:rRNA from 1 species
GACGAACGCUGGCGGCGUGCUUAACACAUGCAAGUCGAACGGAAAGGCCCUGCUUUUGUGGGGUGCUCGAGUGGCGAACGGGUGAGUAACACGUGAGUAACCUGCCCUUGACUUUGGGAUAACUUCAGGAAACUGGGGCUAAUACCGGAUAGGAGCUCCUGCUGCAUGGUGGGGGUUGGAAAGUUUCGGCGGUUGGGGAUGGACUCGCGGCUUAUCAGCUUGUUGGUGGGGUAGUGGCUUACCAAGGCUUUGACGGGUAGCCGGCCUGAGAGGGUGACCGGCAACAUGGGGACUGAGAUACGGCCCAGACUCCUACGGGAGGAAGCAGUGGGGAAUAUGGCACAAGGGGCGGAAGCCUGAUGCAGCAACGCCGCGUGCGGGAUGACGGCCUUCGGGUUGUAAACCGCUUCCGCCUGUGACGAAGCGUGAGGGACGGUAAGGGGUAAAGAAGCACCGGCGAACUACG